UUGCUGCACCUUGAGGCAUAUUCUUCUACAAUGUUCUCCCUUUCCCCCAGAAACUCAAGGGGAAGCGGGUCUCAGAAUAACGCAACCAAACACAGUAGCACUGAGUUCCGGACCAAUGGAGCACCUGGUGGGAGACAGAGGCAGCAGAGUCUUGAGAGGAGGCAGCCCAGAGGAAGAGACCAGCAUUGGGUUUUGAAGGAUGCGUAGGAGUUUCCAGAGAAGUUGGGAAGUAGCAAAAGGACCUGCAUGUGCAAAGGCAGGGAGCAGUUCCAUGGAGGUCUGGAAACCUGAGCUCCGCCUGAGCCGGUAUCUGCUGCCACUCAGGACUGUGCUCUGAACUUGUAAGGGAAGACAGAGAUCACACCGCACGGCCUCUCUGCUCUGGGCUUGUCCUUCACAUGAGCUGGGGAGCAGAUGGCCCCUGGCUUCCAAGAUCUGGGACAAGCGAUGCACGGAGCAGUUUAAGGAUGGACAUGGAGCAUGAAGGUAAGAAGCCGCACCUUGGACCACUGUGUUGGACAUGGCACAGGUCUCAAGAUCACAAUAAUGUCCAUUCUUCAGGAACCAGCUAGAACUCCACCUCCUCCAAGAAGCCCUCCCUGACUUGGAACCCUUCUUGGGGACCCUGAGAACUCAUCCUAGCAACUACAGAUCCAAAAGCCUCCUGCAGACUGGUCUCUGGGCACCCUGCUGUGGCUCGGCGAAGGGGGCUGACAGGGGACACGGGUGGCCUCAGGUUUCCAGAGUCCACUUUCCUUCCGCACCCCUUGCAUCCUGUCAGCUUUCUGAUCAGAGCCUGACUCUGGAGCAUUCUCUCUGCCUUGGCCUCCGGGCCUACAACCUCCAGACCCCACUGGGCUCUCAGCGUAAACAGAAGCGAGGAGAAUAAUAAGGGUCGCAGGCCUUAGCAGGAGCUGGUGAUUACAGGAGGCGGAAUACAAACAAGGCCUUCACAGAGCCAGGUCUGAGGGCGCCCUGCUCUGCUCUCCACAUCCCCAGAACUUCCCAGGGCCCCCACUCUGCACCCCCAGCCCCUCAGGGGUGGGUCCUGCCUUUCUGCAAGCACCACGCCCCACAGAUGGGUCACAUCAGCUGUAGGACUUGGGCCCUGCUGGCAUCCACAUCCGCCACACAGUUUAGGGUGGCAGCGAGCUCAGCUGAAAGCCUGCAGUGC
ensembl:lncRNA